UUCUGGUUGAUCCCGCCGGACCUGACUGCUAUCGGAUUGAUACUAAGCCAUGCGAGUCUUUGUAGUAAUACAAGGCAGACGGCUCAGUAACACGUAGUCAACCUACCCUAUGGACGAGAAUAAUCUCGGGAAACUGAGCAUAAUUCUUGAUAGAUCAUAAUGCCUGGAAUGGUUUAUGGUUAAAAUGAUUCGUCGCCAUAGGAUGGGACUGCGGCCUAUCAGCUUGUUGGUGAGGUAAUGGCCCACCAAGGCGAUUACAGGUACGGGCUCUGAGAGGAGAAGCCCGGAGAUGGGUACUGAGACACGGACCCAGGCCCUAUGGGGCGCAGCAGGCGAGAAAACUUUGCAAUGUGCGAAAGCACGACAAGGUUAAUCCGAGUGAUUUCUGCUAAAGAAAUCUUUUGCCAGUCGUAAAACCGCUGGUGAAUAAGGGGUGGGCAAGUUCUGGUGCCAGCAGCCGCAGUAAU
rnacentral:rRNA from 1 species